rnacentral:rRNA from 1 species
CGAACGCUGGCGGCGUGCUUAACACAUGCAAGUCGAACGGAAAGGCCCUGCUUUUGUGGGGUGCUCGAGUGGCGAACGGGUGAGUAACACGUGAGUAACCUGCCCUUGACUUUGGGAUAACUUCAGGAAACUGGGGCUAAUACCGGAUAGGAGCCCCUGCUGCAUGGUGGGGGUUGGAAAGUUUCGGCGGUUGGGGAUGGACUCGCGGCUUAUCAGCUUGUUGGUGGGGUAGUGGCUUACCAAGGCUUUGACGGGUAGCCGGCCUGAGAGGGUGACCGGCCACAUUGGGACUGAGAUACGGCCCAGACUCCUACGGGAGGCAGCAGUGGGGAAUAUUGCACAAUGGGCGGAAGCCUGAUGCAGCAACGCCGCGUGCGGGAUGACGGCCUUCGGGUUGUAAACCGCUUUCGCCUGUGACGAAGCGUGAGUGACGGUAAUGGGUAAAGAAGCACCGGCUAACUACGUG